rnacentral:rRNA from 1 species
CCUACGGGGGGCUGCAGUGAGGAAUAUUGGUCAAUGGUCGGGAGACUGAACCAGCCAAGCCGCGUGAGGGAUGAAGGCACAGAGUAUCGUAAACCUCUUUUGUCAGGGAACAAAGGCGGGGACGCGUCCCCGGAUGAGUGUACCUGAAGAAAAAGCAUCGGCUAACUCCGUGCCAGCAGCCGCGGGAAUAAGGAGGAUGAGAGCGUUAUCCGGAUUUAUUGGGUUUAAAGGGUGCGCAGGGUGUCGGUUAAGUAAGUGGUCAAAGACCGGGGCUCAACCCCGGCCCGCCGUUGAAACUGGCAGCCUCGAGUUGGAGAGAAGUAGGCGGAAUGCGCGGUGUAGCGGUGAAAUGCAUAGAUAUCGCGCAGAACUCCGAUUGCGAAGGCAGCAUGCCGGCUCCACACUGACGCUGAGGCACGAAAGCGUGGGUAUCGAACAGGAUUAGAUACCCUAGUAGUC